rnacentral:rRNA from 2 species
GGGGAGUGGCGCGUGCUAUACUGCAAGUCGAGCGAAAGACGAGGAGCUUGCUCCUCUGACGUUAGCGGCGGACGGGUGAGUAACACGUGGAUAACCUACCUAUAAGACUGGGAUAACUUCGGGAAACCGGAGCUAAUACCGGAUAAUAUAUUGAACCGCAUGGUUCAAUAGUGAAAGACGGUUUUGCUGUCACUUAUAGAUGGAUCCGCGCCGCAUUAGCUAGUUGGUAAGGUAACGGCUUACCAAGGCAACGAUGCGUAGCCGACCUGAGAGGGUGAUCGGCCACACUGGAACUGAGACACGGUCCAGACUCCUACGGGAGGCAGCAGUAGGGAAUCUUCCGCAAUGGGCGAAAGCCUGACGGAGCAACGCCGCGUGAGUGAUGAAGGUCUUCGGAUCGUAAAACUCUGUUAUUAGGGAAGAACAAAUGUGUAAGUAACUAUGCACGUCUUGACGGUACCUAAUCAGAAAGCCACGGCUAACUACGUGCCAGCAGCCGCGGUAAUACGU